GGGGGGGCAAUACAUUAUAACAUGUUGGGAGGAGGGGGCCAUGAAGGUGUAUAUGUAUAGGUUUUUGUUCAGUCCUUUAUAUUUGAUAAGACAAGGUGGGCGUUGCAAUCAAAUGAUUGUCUUUGCAUUUUGGUUAAAUUCUUCUUGUUUGCCAAUAGCAGAGACUCCCCAAUCAACAACAUGUUACAGGAGCGAAAGAAAGAGAGAGAUUUAAUCCAUGCUAUUACUUAUUGCAGGCAAGUGCUUUUGCUAUUUGUCUCCUCCUCAAUAGCUCCAGAUUUGCAUCAUCUUCUUAAUCGUGGCUUGUGGAUCUAACUUAGUUUGUUGGUUUCUUAACUAUCCUUAACGAGGAUGCUUUAUGCUCCAGUUUGGUGUAUAGAUCUUGUCCUAUUUAUACGUGGUAACGAGCUAUUGAGGAGAUCAUAGAAGUCAUCAAAAGGCAACAAAAAUAAUCAAAGGAAUGGCAACUAGCAUCCCCAACAGCACAUUCAGCUUUCCUCCUUUUGUUGACUGCUUUUCACCCUUCUUCAAACGAAGAUUAAUCAAAUGUGACAGAUUUUGAAGGCCUCAAGAAUCUAAUGAAUUAUUACGGGGAAAAGUUUGAAUCUAUCAUAGACGAAGGGUGAGGAAUAGCAACCAUAAAUCGUCAAAAGAUGGCCGUAGUUGGAAGAAAAGGACCCAAUUCCACAUGGACGAUUUGGCAAGUGGGCUCGGAGGAUGUAGCCACCAUGAAAACGAACCAAACCAGAAAUCAGCAAUCCAUUCAUAACGAUGGAAAAAAGUUAUGCAAAUAUAAAUCAAUGACACAAUCUGAU